CGGCGUAUGUGGGCACGCGGAGUGCCGCUGCCAUUUACAUCCUGAACGUGGGGUCGUCUGGCUCACCGUGUGGGACUCUCGCCUCAGGGGGCGUCCAGCCCGCUUGGUGGUGCUGGCGGCGGCGGCAUGGCGGGGAGCAGGAAGCAAUAGAGUUGGAGAUGCCCGAAUCGACCACAGGUCCGGUGGUGAUGAGCGGUUGCGCGCGUCGGUUCGCAGUUGCGUCGCCUCGCCGCUCCCUCCUCCACCUGUCCUCUUUUUCCCCGCCUCACUUUCUCUUUGCUCUAUCUGUUGAGCAUAUCGACAGUCGUUGACGCGUUCUUGGAUCCACAGGCUUCUUUCUUCGUGGCAUCCGCUUGCUCCGUGCCGCAUCAUGAAUUGCAGUUGCAGGAUAUAUGCUACCUCAGCGGGUCAUUCAGGUUGCCCUUCUGCUACGUGUGGAGGGCGGGGUAGGCCUCUGUCUCGUGGGCGUGGCAGUGGGCGCACUGGUGGAUGCCCCGGCCGGCCUCUUCUCCGCGCCCCGGCUCUUGCAACCUUCUUCCACGCUAUUUGCCAUCACUUUCAUAAAAGGAGCGGAAGGGCCUCACAACAAUGUUUGGGGCAAUGGCAAGAUGGAGUCCCAUGUGACUACAGAUAGCAUGGCCGACCGGCCGACUGGCCGGCAGUUUGGUGUCCACGCUCCGUCAAUAUUUCGUCCUCAAUACAGUUCCUCCAUGCUAUGGCCGGAUCAGAGGAGGACGUGGUGUACCGAUGGGAGUUUCAGGAAAAUUAGUGGCCUGUUGCGGUUGGGUAAUUAGGAUAUAAGUACUGUGGUUUGCAACAGCAGAUGCUGCAGACACUUCCACUAGCUAUAUAUGUACCUUUCUAUGGGCAAGAAGCUACAGUGUUUCUUUAAAUUGGUUUGCAAAAUAUAUGCAUAACCAAUGGUAUAUUCCAGAAAGACAAGUAAGAACUUAUUAGUUUAGUUGCUAAAUUCUUAUUUCAGUAAUUUGUUAAACCAUCAAUCUAACCUACCUCUUCUGCAGUUCUUUGUUAUAAGCUGUUCGUUGUAAGUCAUAUGUACUUCCUCUUCAACACUAUGAUUUGUACCAGUUUUCAGAUAAGCAAAUGUUCUUGACCUCUCUUUUCUUUAAUAUGAAUUCGUGGAAAAUAUUUCCUCUCAACAUAUUGUCAAGUGAUCAUCGGUGAGAAGGAAGUACGAGUUUCAGUUCUGGCUUAUGAUUUUCAGGUGGAUGAUGGCUCAAUUUCUGAACGGACUAUUUCUGAUUAAUUACCUCAGAAAAGGUUGAGGCCCUUGGUGUCAUCAGCCAGGUGGACAAUCUGAAGCUGGAGCUUUGAGACAGACUAGAUUCUUCUAUGACUGAUGUACACAUUUCAUCUAUUCAUCCGACCUAUAUCUCCUUUGAAGACAGAAGUCUGAUAUAAUUGUUUCACCAGUGAUUGGCAUCGCUAUAUGCUAUACAUCUUUGGGCAGACCAUAUUGAGCCACAAUUCCUUAGUGCAACUAUGAAACGCUAAUGUAUAUUACAUUUGUAUAAUUGUUUUCAGGCAAACAUCACAUAAGUAUGACUAAUUUGCCAAGUCCA